CAGUUCGGAUUGCAGGCUGCAACCCGCCUGCAUGAAGUUGGAAUCGCUAGUAAUCGCGGAUCAGCAUGCCGCGGUGAAUACGUUCCCGGGCCUUGUACACACCGCCCGUCACACCAUGAGAGUCGGGAACACCCGAAGUCCGUAGUCUGACCGCAAGGGGACGCGGCCGAAGGUGGGUUCGAUAAUUGGGGUGAAGUCGUAACAAGGUAAC
rnacentral:rRNA from 1 species